rnacentral:rRNA from 1 species
UAGGGAAUCUUCGGCAAUGGACGAAAGUCUGACCGAGCAACGCCGCGUGAGUGAAGAAGGUUUUCGGAUCGUAAAACUCUGUUGGUAGAGAAGAACGUUGGUGAGAGUGGAAAGCUCAUCAAGUGACGGUAACUACCCAGAAAGGGACGGCUAACUACGUGCCAGCAGCCGCGGUAAUACGUAGGUCCCGAGCGUUGUCCGGAUUUAUUGGGCGUAAAGCGAGCGCAGGUGGUUUAUUAAGUCUGGUGUAAAAGGCAGUGGCUCAACCAUUGUAUGCAUUGGAAACUGGUAGACUUGAGUGCAGGAGAGGAGAGUGGAAUUCCAUGUGUAGCGGUGAAAUGCGUAGAUAUAUGGAGGAACACCGGUGGCGAAAGCGGCUCUCUGGCCUGUAACUGACACUGAGGCUCGAAAGCGUGGGGAGCAAACAGGAUUAGAUACCCUGGUAGUCCACGCCGUAAACGAUGAGUGCUAGAUGUAGGGAGCUAUAAGUUCUCUGUAUCGCAGCUAACGCAAUAAGCACUCCGCCUGGGGGAGUACGACCGCAAGGUUGGAAC